rnacentral:rRNA from 1 species
GACGAACCGUGCGAACGUUAUUCGGAUUCACUGGACUUAAAGGGCGCGUAGGCGGCUUCUCAAGUCGGGGGUGAAAUCUCAGAGCUCAACUCUGAAACUGCACUCGAUACUGCUUUGCUUGAGGACUGGAGAGGAGAUUGGAAUUUACGGUGUAGCGGUGAAAUGCGUAGAUAUCGUAAGGAAGACCAGUGGCGAAGGCGGGUCUCUGGACAGUUCCUGACGCUGAGGCACGAAGGUCAGGGGAGCAAACGGG